rnacentral:rRNA from 1 species
CCUACGGGAGGCAGCAGUGAGGAAUAUUGGUCAAUGGACGAGAGUCUGAACCAGCCAAGUAGCGUGAAGGAUGACUGCCCUAUGGGUUGUAAACUUCUUUUAUAAAGGAAUAAAACGAGGCACGUGUGCCUUUUUGCAUGUACUUUAUGAAUAGGGAUCGGCUAACUCCGUGCCAGCAGCCGCGGUAAUACGGAGGAUCCGAGCGUUAUCCGGAUUUAUUGGGUUUAAAGGGAGCGUAGAUGGGUUGUUAAGUCAGUUGUGAAAGGUUGCGGCGCAACCGUAAAAUUGCAAUUGAUACUGGCAGUCUUGAGUACAGUUGAGGUAGGCGGAAUUCGUGGUGUAGCGGUGAAAUGCUUAGAUAUCACGAAGAACCCUGAUUGCGAAGGCAGCUUACUAAACUGUGACUGACAUUGAUGCUCGAAAGUGUGGGUAUCAAACAGGAUUAGAUACCCUUGUAGUC